GUUAUUAACCGCAACCAUUUCGUUCCUGSCGAAAGAGCUUUACAACCCGAAGGSCUUCUUCACUCMCGCGGAAUGGCUGGAUCAGGSUUUCSCCCAUUGUCCAAAAUUCCCCACUGCUGCCUCCCGUAGGAGUCUGGACCGUGUCUCAGUUCCAGUGKGGCUGAUCAUCCUCUCAGACCAGCUACUGAUCGUCGCCUUGGUGAGCCUUUACCUCACCAACUAGCUAAUCAGACAUAGGCCAAUCCAGUAACGCGAGGUCCGAAGAUCCCCCGCUUUCCCCCUCAGGGCGUAUGCGGUAUUAGCACCGAUUUCUCGGCGUUAUCCCCCAUUACUGGGUAUGUUCCUAUGUAUUACUCACCCGUUCGCCACUCGCCACCAGGAGCAAGCUCCCGUGCUGCCGUUCGACUUGCAUGUGUAAAGCAUUCCGCCAGCGUUCAAUCUGAGCCAUGAUCAAACUCUAAUCGAAUUCCCGCGGCCGCCAUGGCGGCCGGGAGCAUGCGACGUCGGGCCCAAUUCGCCCUAUAGUGAGUCGUAUUACAUUCA
rnacentral:rRNA from 1 species